GUGACCUCCUCUUCCCCAAAUCCCGUAGCUGCUGGCCUCUCAUCAGAAGUUAGAAGUUGAACCUCUCUGCCCCAAGGGCUCCUCCACCAGCAGUGCCGCCGGCCUCCUCCACCACCAUAGGCCCGCCUCCCCAGCCAUCACCUCUGGCUGUUUGCCAACGGACUCGUCGGCCCUGCCCCCAACUACCAGAUCUGCCGACCUCACCUCCAGCCCAGACCCUAGCCCCGCCGUCCUCAUCCACCAGGUUCUUGUUUGGAUUUCUCGUUUCUUUCUUCCCCCUCUCAACUCACCCCCAAAGAAUUGCUUCAGAUCUGAUAUGCAUGAUUGUGCACGGUUUGUUGCCUAGGCUUUUGGGGUGACCACCAGGAAAUUGGUUGCUCCUGGCGUAUGCAAGAUGAUGGAUCUGCAACAUUCAUGGUCUCU
rnacentral:lncRNA from 1 species